UCGACAUUCUAAAAAUUACUUGAUACACAGCGAAAUAAGAGUGUAUACAAAUGCCAUGUAUAUCAUGUGAAAAGUAUUUUUAUAAGCUAUUUUUCGUAUAAUAUAACUGGGGUCAAAUCGUUGCAGGGACCAAAAUAAAACCAUUUAAUGAGUUAAUUAAUUGUAGUUAAUUACGCCUUAACUUUUCUACUCAACGCCAGAUGUCGCUCUAAAGCAAAAUUCUACUUGACGUAAAACAUUUAUACAUCGCGGUAAUCUCGUCAGUCUUACUCCAUCAUUUUAAAAAGUAUAGACUAGUUUAUGGAUUUCUAAAGUUAUGUCAAGAUGACUCUGAAUGUAAUAUUGUCAACAAUAAUUGUCAAAACACGCAAUUUAAAAUAUUCAACAUUGUAAUUACAAAAUAGUAUAUUUCUAAUACGCUAUAAUUUUCUCCAAUCGAAAGGCACUCCAUUCCAUUGAUCUCAGAGAGUAUGCUCCUUGAUGAUCUUCACUAUUCAUGGGCAUUUUUAAGUUGUUCAUCGGACACUGAGGCCAUUGAAGUUUCAAGCUGGCGGCAUCAAAAUGGAGUACCUAGGUACUGUUUCAAAUAAAUGGGUGGUAAGUAAGUACAUUUGGUGAAGUGGAACUGCUGAUGUUGAUCAGAAACGGAACUCUUCCACGCGCGUGA